CGUCACGAAUAUUAAUUAGCCCACACAGCCAAGCCCCGCCCACCCAGCGUCUCCGUCUACCAAUCGUGCGCCGCCCCCGACCUGGUGGAGCUCCUCUGCUUGGUCACCGACUUCGCCCCGCCCACCCUGGCCGUGGAUUGGCUGAUGGACGGCGACGUCAUCGAGGCCGGCCACGCCCACACCGAGCCGGCCACGCCCGGCCACGCCCCCGGGACCUUCCGGGCGGUGUCGAGGCUCAACGUGACCAUGGGGGAUUGGUGGGACCACCAGAGGUUCUCCUGCAGGGCCCGCGUGGGGCAGGAGGUGCGCGAGGAGCCCGUGGGGCGGUGCCAAGCCCCGGCCUCCUCGCCCAUCUCGGUGUUCGCGCUGCCGCCGUCCCCGUCCGACCUCUACAUCUCCCAAUCCCCAAAACUCCUCUGCUUGGUCACCAACCUGCCCAGCGACGACGGCCUGGUGGUCACGUGGUCCCGGGUGGGCGGGGCCAGCCUGGACCACCAGCCCCGCCCCCUGCGCCUGACCAAUAACUUCAAUGGAACCUUCACGGCCGUGUCCGAGCUGCCAUUGGCCGCCGGCGUCUGGGAGGGCGGGGCCGCCUUCGUGUGCCGGGUGGGGCACGCCGAGCUGGUGGCGCCCGUCGAGAAGAAGGUCCAGAGACGGGAAGGAACCCGCCACGCCCCCUCCGUAUUCUUAUUCCCACCUCCCCCUGAAGAAAUUUCUUCGUCCCUGCCCACGCUCUCCCUCACCUGCCUCGUCCGCGGCUUCUUCCCCGACUCCAUCGACGUCCAAUGGCAGAAGAACCUCGGGGGCACCCAGAACUCCCAAAACCCCCGGAAUUCUCCCCAGACCGGGGGGCCCUGGCGGGAGCGGGGGGGGGAGGGGCGCUACUUCCUGCUGAGCCGCCUGGAGGUGACGCGCCAGGAGUGGGACGGGGGCGACGCCUUCGCCUGCACCGUGGUGCACGAGGGGCUGCCCCUGCGCUUCCUGCAGCGCAGCAUCCGCAAGCCGCCCGGUAAUUAGCGGGGUCGUUAAUUAUUGGUUAAUUAAAAGUGAUUUGUUGGCGAAAAAA